rnacentral:lncRNA from 1 species
AACAACUUAUUCUUCCUCAUUCAAUUGUUAAUCAUCAGUUAUACGUCCAUAGUCAUGCUUUAGAUACAUCAUAUUUAAUCUUAAUACAUGUAUGAAAGCAAAUAAUACAUCAAGGCAAUUACAAAACAGUUUUAAUUAGCACUUGUUUUUGAAUGAAUCUUCAUCCAAAUCCAUUUUUCUUAAACCCAUCAUUAACCAAUACAUACAUUUAGAAGCUUAACAAUAAAUUAGCACCAUGGAAAUCCAAACCCUAUAACCCCAACUGUUGGUAUACCUUUUCCAUAUUGUUAUCCAAUCUUAUGCCAUCCGCUUCUAUUGGAGGCAAUCGCUGACACCAUAGGUGCCCGCCGCCAUCAAUUCAGUUCCGCCACCAUUGCGGAGUGAGCCCCACCAUACACUGAUUAUAUUCACCACCUUCCUUUGCCUUAAUGAGCCUCUAAGAGGGGAAGAUAUAAAAAACAAAAUAACAUAGGAGAGGAUGAAGAAACAAAGAAAAAGAAAUAAAAAUGAAGGAGAUGAAAAAUAAAAAUAGAAAUGGAAAAGAUAAUUACCCGUUCUUAGAACCACCGUGAUAAUAGUAAGGUCAUAGUUCGAUUCGUCUCUAACUUCUCUGAAAAUGAGAAGAAGGUCUACGACGAACACCAUCUAUAAGCUAUUAGUUUCAUUGAAUUAAAAUAAUCAUAUAUUUCAAAUACUUUAAAAUCAAUGAAAAUCAAACUCAACCAAAUCGAUGUUUUCAAAAUCAGCUGAACUAAUCAAUUAAUUUUCAAAUCAAAACUACGUAGUCUUGAUUUCCCUAUUGCACCUAGAGAUACGUAGGAGGAAUAUAAACUCUUGUCAAACACAAAAACAAAAAAUAAAACGUUUUGCAUUAGUAAUUGAAUUUUCAAUGAAUAUGUUUAAGGUUAUAAAAGUCCAUAUGAUUAGUGAGCGUACCAUUUUAGUACGGGCGGAUGGAGUGUUAAUACUUUCUCCGAUCCAUAAUCGACUCCCGAGCUCAUAACUCUUGUUCAAAGGACCAUUUUCUCCAAUUCGAGCAUCAAGAGCAUUUUCUACGUUUUAACAUCAAAAAAUGUAGUGGCGACUCCAUAUCAUUGGGAGAAGUAGAAGUCAUGUUCGCCUCCUCCUAAGUUGCAGACACGAUCUUCCAACUGAAUAUAAGAUCGUGAGAAGCCCCAUAUUUUAAAUGAUGCAUCAAAACUGAAUUCUUUGAUGUUAUUAAAGCUAGUGGUUC